GAUGAACGCUGGCGGCGUGCCUAAUACAUGCAAGUCGAGCGAACAGACGAGGAGCUUGCUCCUCUGACGUUAGCGGCGGACGGGUGAGUAACACGUGGAUAACCUACCUAUAAGACUGGGAUAACUUCGGGAAACCGGAGCUAAUACCGGAUAAUAUAUUGAACCGCAUGGUUCAAUAGUGAAAGACGGUUUUGCUGUCACUUAUAGAUGGAUCCGCGCCGCAUUAGCUAGUUGGUAAGGUAACGGCUUAACAAGGCAACGAUGCGUAGCCGACCUGAGAGGGGGAUCGGCCACACGGGAACAGAGAAACGGUCCAGAGUCCGAAGGGAGGCAGCAGUAGGGAAUCUUCCGCAAUGGGCGAAAGCCUGACGGAGCAACGCCGGGUGAGUGAUGAAGGUCUUCGGAUCGGAAAACGCUGUUAGUAGGGAAGAACAAAUGUGUAAGUAACUAUGCACGUCUUGACGGUACCUAAUCAGAAAGCCACGGCUAACUACGUG
rnacentral:rRNA from 1 species